GACGAACGCUGGCGGCGUGCUUAACACAUGCAAGUCGAACGGAAAGGCCCUGCUUUUGUGGGGUGCUCGAGUGGCGAACGGGUGAGUAACACGUGAGUAACCUGCCCUUGACUUUGGGAUAACUUCAGGAAACUGGGGCUAAUACCGGAUAGGAGCUCCUGCUGCAUGGUGGGGGUUGGAAAGUUUCGGCGGUUGGGGAUGGACUCGCGGCUUAUCAGCUUGUUGGUGGGGUAGUGGCUUACCAAGGCUUUGACGGGUAGCCGGCCUGAGAGGGUGACCGGCCACAUUGGGACUGAGAUACGGCCCAGACUCCUACGGGAGGCAGCAGUGGGGAAUAUUGCACAAUGGGCGGAAGCCCGAUGCAGCAACGCCACGUGCGGGAUGACGGCCUUCGGGUUGUAAACCGCUUUCGCCUGUGACGAAGCGUGAGUGACGGUAAUGGGUAAAGAAGCACCGGCUAACUACGUG
rnacentral:rRNA from 1 species